GAGGGCGACAGUGGCAGCUCUUCUCCUGUGUCUUGUGGAGGACUAACUACCCUACAAAUCUGAUGUUACUGCAUACAGAAGGAAAUUGCAUGUUAAGCGGCACAUAUCCAAGAAAUCAGAAAAUCAUUCCAAUCCUUACACCCUGGGCUGUAAAAAAGUCUCAGCUGCUGGUGAACGAGAUGGCGACACUGCAGCUGCUCGUUUCUUGACAAACCUGCCACGAGAGUCAGAUGUCAUGGCAAUCUGACAGCUGAGCCCGUCAUGUGCUUUCGAGGUGCAGAUGCAAACAUUCCAUCAGGAACGGAUGGAGCGCCUCUCAUACGUUAGCACCAGCACACGUCUGGAGCCGCGGAACGGCAAAAUACAACAAACCUUUGCAAUUCCAUCUAGCAACAGAACAACGAGGGUACUUAGCUUUAUACUCAUCAUAUUGUCGAAAUUCUACCGCUCCACACCUUCAACCGCCGAACAUCAAGACAAAAGCAAACCUUUGUAAUUCCAUCUAACAGCAGAACAACGAAUCUACAUAGCAUUGUCUCAUUCGUGUCAUCGAAAUUCUCCGGCUCCUCAUUUAUAACCAUCAAUCUUAAAGACAUCACCAAAAUUUUUAAAUCCAUCCCAUUAGGACAACGAGGCUAACAGUGUAUAAAAUCAAAACCAUCGAAAUCAACAGAAAUCAGCAACAAAAAAUAGACUAUCAAAUAACAAAAAUCUACCAAACGUACCAAUUUAUGUAAAACCUUUAUCAUUCUACCAUAUAUUGUAUGUACUCUGAUUUACUGAACUCCGAUUUGUAUAACUAAUAUAAUGUUUUGUUUACCUAUAUCUUUGCACAUAUAAUUAGUUUUUGUAAUUGACAGUUAUAUGAAUGGUUGUCUGUACAAACAAUUUCAAAUGCUGAAACGUGUUGUAUGAACAACGGUACAGGCAAAAAUGAGUCCUUUUUAACUGUAGCAACAAGAACAUAAACAUUUUUCAAGCUAUCUGCCGAAUCAUUGAAGGCAAUUUAUUAAUCAAAUAACUUCGAAGCAUUACAUGGAUAGAUUCAAGAAAUUUCUUGUUAAUUUAACAUCGCAAAAACGACGGAAAGCACAAAAAUGUACAU